UCACCGCUCACACUUUCUCGUCAUCUUUCUCUCGCGCUCUGAAUCUCUCAAACGAAUUUCACAAUGAUCCACAAACCCUAAUCCCAAACCAGCAAGAAGAUUCAGUAAUGGAAGAUGCAAACGAUUCCUUGUUCGAUUCUAUGCUUGUUGAUUCAAGUUCAAAACUCAUUCAAAAUGGCUUCGCCAGAUCUCAAAGUUCAGCAGAGGAGUGUGUAAUGUUUGUAAACGUGGGAGGGGAAGCGACUAAUGAAGGAGCUGAUGGAGUGAAGUUUCUGAGUGACACUUUUUUUGACGGUGGCGAUGUUUUCCUCACGAAUGAGGCGAUUGUGGAAGGUGGAGAUUACCCGUCGAUUUAUCAGUCAGCUCGGGUGGGAAGUUUUAGUUAUAGAAUUGAUAACCUUCCUCCUGGACAAUAUCUUGUUGACCUGCAUUUUGUUGAGAUUAUUAAUGUAAAUGGGCCGAAAGGAAUGAGGGUGUUCAAUGUUUACAUACAAGAAGAAAAGGUUCUAUCUGAAUUGGAUAUCUAUGCAGCUGUUGGAGUCAACAAGCCACUUCAGCUGAUUGAUUGUCGGGCCACUGUGAAGGAUGAUGGGGUGAUUCUCAUAAGAUUUGAGAGUUUAAAUGGAAGACCAGUUGUCAGUGGGAUCUGCAUUAGGAGAGCGUCAAAAGAGUCAGUUCCACCAGUGCCAAGCGAUUUCAUUGAAUGUAACUACUGUGCUGCGCAGAUUGAAAUUCCUUCAUCACAGAUAAAAGUUAUGCAGACAAAAUCUACAGCAAAGUAUGAAAAUAAGAUAAAGGAGCUUACUAUGCAGUGCGAGCUCAAGGCAAAAGAAUGCUAUGAGGCAUGGACGUCAUUAACUGAAAUGAGUAGGGAAGUGGAAAAAGUCCAGAUGGAGCUUGAUCAAGUGACAUUUAAGUCAUUCACUACAGAACUAACUGCCGAAAAACAAGCUGAGAACCUGAGGAGUAUUUCUAACAGAUAUGAACUUGAUAAGAAGAAAUGGGCAGAAGCAAUUAUCAGUUUACAGGAAAAAGUACAGUUGAUGAAGAGUGAGCAGUCUCGGCUUUCCUUCGAAGCACAUGAAUGUGUUGAUUCGAUCCCUGAAUUAAAUAAGAUGGUUUAUGCAGUACAGGAGUUGGUUAAGCAGUGUGAAGAUCUUAAAGUGAAGUAUUAUGAAGAGAUGACACAGAGAAAGAAGCUCUUCAAUGAAGUUCAAGAGGCUAAAGGAAACAUCAGAGUUUUUUGCCGUUGUCGACCAUUGAAUAAGGUUGAAAUGUCAUCUGGGUGUACAACAGUUGUGGAUUUUGAUGCAGCAAAAGAUGGAUGCCUUGGGAUUUUGGCAACUGGCUCCUCUAAAAAAUUAUUCAGAUUUGACAGGGUUUAUACACCAAAAGAUGAUCAAGUUGAUGUUUUUGCUGAUGCAUCAUCAAUGGUAAUCUCUGUGCUGGAUGGCUACAACGUUUGCAUCUUUGCGUAUGGACAAACAGGAACAGGAAAAACAUUUACUAUGGAAGGAACAGAGCAAAAUAGAGGUGUAAAUUACAGGACUCUUGAGCAUUUGUUUAGAGUUAGUAAGGAAAGGAGUGAAACAUUUUCAUACGACAUAUCUGUUAGUGUGCUCGAGGUUUACAAUGAACAAAUCAGAGACCUAUUGGCUACGGGACCAGCAUCAAAAAGGUUGGAGAUAAAACAAAAUUAUGAAGGACAUCAUCAUGUACCUGGUGUUGUAGAAGCCAAGGUGGACAACAUAAGUGACGUGUGGACUGUACUGCAAGCUGGAAGCAAUGCUAGAGCAGUUGGAAGUAAUAAUGUUAAUGAACAUAGUAGUCGAUCUCAUUGCAUGCUAUGUAUAAUGGUAAAGACUAAAAAUUUGAUGAAUGGUGAGUGUACCAAGAGCAAGCUUUGGCUUGUGGAUUUGUCAGGCAGUGAGAGACUUGCAAAGACGGAUGUGCAAGGAGAGCGACUUAAGGAGGCACAAAAUAUUAAUCGUUCUCUUUCUGCUCUUGGAGAUGUGAUAUCCGCUUUAGCUGCCAAAAGUAGUCACAUUCCAUAUAGGAAUUCUAAGUUGACACAUUUACUCCAAGACUCACUAGGAGGUGACUCAAAAACUUUGAUGUUUGUACAAAUAAGUCCAUCAGACCAGGAUGUCGGUGAGACUCUGAGCUCACUUAAUUUUGCAACUAGAGUGAGGGGCGUUGAGUUAGAUCCUGUUAAGAAGCAAAUUGAUACAGGCGAACUUCAAAAGACAAAAGCAAUGCUUGACAAAGCACGAAGUGAGUGCAGAUGUAAAGAAGAAUCCUUGAGGAAAUUAGAAGAAAGUUUGCAAAACAUUGAGAGCAAGGCCAAGGGAAAGGAUAAUAUCCACAAAAAUCUACAAGAAAAGAUUAAAGAACUUGAAGGCCAGAUUAAGCUCAAAACAUCCAUGCAAAACCAAUCAGAGAAACAAGUUUCUCAAUUAUGUGAAAGGUUGAAGGGAAAAGAAGAAACCUGCUGUACUCUUCAACAUAAGACACAUGCUUAUACUGAAGGUCAAAGAGCUAGAGAGAAAAAUAAAAGAACAACUGCAGACAGAGACAGCAAAUUUCCAACAGAAGGUUUGGGAUCUAGAAAAGAAGCUGAAAGAUCAGUUGCAAGGGUCUGAGUCUGAAUCUUCCUUUCUAAAAGAUAAGAUCAAGGAGCUUGAGAGAAAACUGAAAGAGCAGGAGCAGAACUCGGAAUCCUUGCUAAAACAACAGCAUGUCAUAGCAGAUGAAGGAACUAGAGGAGAAACACAAGGAGCGAGAGCAACAGUGGCAGCAAACUCAUUGUUAUGUUGAAGCAGUAAAGGCGGCGGCCACACCUGAUAUAGGUAAAAGCCGCACAAGUGAAGAAUGUCCAAAUGAUAUUGAGAGUCGCAUGAAAUUUCGUCCCAAAUCCGUCCCAAAAUCGUAUGAAAUUUUUAUAACAUAUUCAAACAAGGAAUUUUCCCAUGAAUUUCGCACGAAUUUCCUUAAAAAAACAAAUCCGUCCCAAAACCGUGUGAAAUUUUGAGAUGGAUUUCGGACGGAAGGUUUUAAUUUUAUUUUUAAUUGUGAAAAUUCUAUAUCCCCUGUGUCCACAUCAAAAUUUCCCUCUGUGUGUUGCUUCCUCUCAUAACUAGAUUUACUCUUCCAUAACCCUAAAAUCAAUUUCACAAUCAAUUUCUCAAACUCUUCAAUCAAUUCCUUCCAAAAACUUGUACCAUUUCUCAAGCUCUUCAAGGAAUGAAUUGUUGCUUCAACGAGUCACGUGUGACUUAUUAUCUUGAACAAGAACCUCACCCAUCAUCCUCCAAAAGCUUGAACCACCUUUUCCAGAUUUGAACAAAGAUGAGUUCCCUUUCCGACUUUGUGUUUGGUGUAUCAACUUCAGCUUACCAAGUUUGUUCUUCUCUCUCUUUUUUCAAUUCCUAAUGUUAUGCUUUUGCAUUUUCUUUAUAUUCAUGUAUGAUUAUUCCCAAAUGAUAUAACACAUUGUAGUAGUAUUUUGACAUUAUGUUGCUCAUUAAGAUCAAACCAUAUAUAUUUUUAGAGUUAUAGCAUGUUCAUUUCAGACAAUUGAACCAAACAUAUAGAUUUUUUUCUCUCCAAAAAGUAGUUGUGGGAUUUUUCAUAAAAAAGCUGAUUUAGGUGCUUAGAAAUAAUAUGAUUAUAAUAAGUGUGUGGUCAAUGAAAAAGAAUGUUAAAUAAGUAAUCCUUAUUCUAAACAAACAUAUACUACUUUAUGCUUUAUGCAAAGAUGUUGCUAUUUUUAAUCUUAAACAAUCCAUUUGGUGAUUAUCCUUAUAUAAUGAAAAAGAAUGUUGGAUCAAGGCUUCCUUCCUUCACAGCAAAGGAAUCAAAUCUGAUCAAGAGCUCAAUUGACUUCUUAGGAAUAAACUUUUUACAGCUUAGUAUAUGUUAAGAACAAUCCUACAAGCCUGGACAUGGACGAUAGAGCCUGAACAAUCCUGCUAGUUCAGUUGAGUGUGUAUCUGUUUGUCUUGUGUUCGAGUACGUCAUCUUUUGAAGAAAGUAUUACUCAAAUUUAUGUUAAUUUACUUGAGUAUUGACUAGUGAACAAUUUAGUCAUGUUAUUUUGUGAUAUAUUGUGCCAGAACAUUGAGCACAUAUAUGAAUCUAGUUUGUAUAAUUUUGUUUUAGACAAUGAGUAUUUGUUUACUCUUGAA